rnacentral:rRNA from 1 species
CCCGAAGUAGAGAGAGUUAUUUUAUUUAUGGUUAGCGUGUAAAAGCUAUCAUUAAAGUAAAUUAGAGGUGACAUGCCAUUCAAUUUCUAUAUAUCUGGUUUGGCUUGAUUUAGUUUAAUUUAUAUGUAGAUUUUCGUAUCUAUUUAAAUACCGCAGGGGGGGAAGCUCCCUGUGUCAGAUAAUAAUUGUUAGUUAUUUAUAUGUAAUUUUCGUAUCUAUUUAAAUACCGCAGGGGGGGAAGCUCCCUGUGUCAGAUAAUAAUGGUUAAAUAUAAAGGGGGUUUAAUAACCCACAUUAGAUUUAAUAGAAUUUUACUGUUCGAAUAGGGCCACAUUAAAAAUUUUUUAAUAAGGGCAAAAAUAAGUGUAUUAGUAACAACUAAAUUCAACUAAUAGGUAAAUUUCUUAUAGGUUUAAUUUUAGAGGAGUUUAAAAAGAACUCGGCAACACUAAUUUCGCAUGUUUACCAAAAACAUCUCUUGAACAACUUCAAGUAACCUCUGCCCUAUGAGUAGUUUAAAUGGCCGCAGUACUUUGACUGUGCAAAGGUAGCAUAAUCACUUGUCUUUUAAUUGGAGGCUGGAAUGAAGGAGGCGACGAAAUUUAGGCUUUUAGUUUAUAAUGUGAAAUUAACAUAAAGAUCAAAAGGUCUUUAUUAAUCAAAGGGACGAUAAGACCCUAUAAAACUUUACUAUAAGGUAAAUUAGAUAGCAAAAUUCAAAGGCUUAUAGUUUGGCUGGGGCGGUUUAUAUAAAAACAAUUGAAAUAUAAAUAUAUUUAAUAAAUUUUGAGAACUCCUGUAGGAAAUGAUUAAGUUACUUUAGGGAUAACAGCAUAAUUUUCCCAGAGAGUCCUUAUUGGCGGGAAAGCUUAUGACCUCGAUGUUGAAUUGGGGUGUCUAGUAUAAGCAAAAAUAUACUAAGAUAGUCUGUUCGACGCCCUAAACCCCCACAUGAUUUGAGUUUAGAACCACGCGGGCUCGCUUGGGGUAUAUCUUUU